GGCUUUCAAGUGAGGGCAGUGGCUGC
rnacentral:piRNA from 1 species